CUGGAGGAAGGAAAGGAAAACAUCACAAGGGAGAAUGACAAUGAAAAGGAAGGAAGGAAGGUAUGAGGCUGGAUGAAGGAACACUGGGAAGGAAGGAAGGAAGGUAUGAGGCUGGACGAAGGAACACUGGGAAGGAAGGAAGGAAGGUAUGAGGCUGGACGAAGGAACACUGGGAAGGAAGGAAGGAGGAGGAAGAGAAGGGAGAGAAAUGAUGAAGGAAAGAGAGAGAGAGAGAGAGAGAGAGAGAGAGAGAGAGAGAGAGAGAGAGAGAGAGAGAGAGAGAGAGAGAGAGAGAGAGAGAGAGAGAGAGAGAGAGAGAGAGAGAGAGAGAGAGAGAGAGAGAGAUAGAGAGAGAGAGAGAGAGAGAGAGAGA